UGAAAUACUCACAAAGAAGAUUUCGAAUCAUCCUCAAUCUUUCACUUACACUAAGUGGAUCCACUCAAAAUUAUAUUUUUAAAUAGCAACUCAUUAUGCUAUUUUUCCAGCAAUAGUCUCAGUGAAGAAGGAAGACUUGCGGUGAAGUUAAACUGCAAAGUGUCACGGCCCUGUUUGUUCCCACACUAUGCCAUGCGGCCUUAGGCGCCAAAUUCCCAAUCUCUUGCCCCUAAAUCAGCCUUACACCCAAAUCCGUUGUUGGAUUCGAAAACCGGAAUGAAUAUUCACUCUAACUCACUAAGGAUGGGAGGAAAGGAUUUGUAUUACUCGAUAGAAUGAUUACGAAGAUAUGUGUGCUGGAAAUUGU
rnacentral:lncRNA from 1 species